rnacentral:rRNA from 1 species
UACAGAGGUCUCAAGCGUUGUUCGGAUUCAUUGGGCGUAAAGGGUGCGUAGGCGGCGCGGUAAGUCGGGUGUGAAAUCUCGGAGCUUAACUCCGAAACUGCAUUCGAUACUGCCGUGCUUGAGGACUGGAGAGGAGACUGGAAUUUACGGUGUAGCGGUGAAAUGCGUAGAUAAUCGUAAGGAAGACCAGUGGCGAAGGCGGGUCUCUGGACAGUUCCUGACGUGAGGCACGAAGGUCAGGGGAGCAAACGGG